rnacentral:rRNA from 1 species
GUCUAUGGCCAUACCACUUUGAAUGCACCUGAUCUCAGAAGCUAAGCAGGGUCAGGCCUGGUUAGUACUUGGGUGGGAGAACUUACUAGAAGGCACUGUUUUCGGAGCGC